UAUGAGCAAAACUUUGUAUUUGUUUUUUACAAAGUUGACUAAGAAAAUAAACAGUGUUUUACUUACAUUUAGAUAACAUGCGUAGCACCUGAGCAGCAAGCUGCUGAAAAGACCCUGACUGCAGAAAAUGAGAAACUGAAGAAAUAUAAAGGUCAAGAAAGGCAAACCACAGCAAGAAAGGAAGUUGAGCAAUGUAAUAUGAUAUGGAAAAAGAAAUUCCAGAUUCUACAAAACAGCCUACAUGCGAUUAAGGACGAGAUGUUUCUUAGACAGACCCUGCAACACCAGUUAAUAGCACUUAAACGUACAUCUUUUGGUGAAACAGUAAGUAAAGACACAGCAACUGGGUUAUUUUAUUUAAUGCUUGGUUUUUAUCG
rnacentral:lncRNA from 1 species